AUAUCCGCUUGAAAAGUGUAAAAGACCCAAAAAAAAGAUCAACAACACAAAAUACCGUUUUGUGUGGCCAAUUGUUGUGUGCCCAAUUGUUGUGUGCCUUGGAUUGUUUUCUUCUUUGUUUUUAAAAUACAUCAAAUCUAAACUUAGUAAGAUAUAUAAUAACUAUUUCGAACGAAGUUGUUGUUGCAU
rnacentral:ribozyme from 12 species